UGUGCAGCCUGUGCGGGGCAGGAGGGGAGUGAGGACAACCCCAAGGCUGCUGUGCGUGGGGACAGUUGGGAGGGGAGGAGUGCCAUGUCCCAGCCAGCACAGCAGACUGCUUCCCUUCAGUUUUUCUUGUGCCGUUGCCAUUCCCUUGUUCUCCCUGGGACUCUUGCUUUCCUCCUCCAGCUCCCUCCAUGCGUCUUCAGUGACCUUCAGAUGUACAAGACACUUAAUCUUCGUAUUGUUCUGCUUGGAACUGAGACGUGGACAGAAAUGGACAUUUACUCAUUGGCUGGACCAUGCUUUUCACUUUUUUACUCCAUGGACUAGAUAGUUCCUUAAACCCUGCAUACACUUUGACCGUGCACAAUUACUCCUGUAAGAGGCAGACACUAUCGAGGCACACUAGGACUGGUGACACAAGGAACUGUAUGCAACACAGACGCCUCACCAUGUAUUAUUAGGAUGUCUCUCCAAAAUUGGAGGUUGAUGGGGAAGAGGAUACCUGCACUUUUUCAGUAACUGGGUGUAAUGUGUUUCUGCGGAUGCGUUGCGUUGCACACCAGAUGAUGCGGUCCACCCAGCCCAACAUCGGCACUUCAGGAACAACUCAUUCUGUUCUCUCCUUUGAUCUGGGGGAUCGUAACAGGUUCCUGCCAGUGUCCCGUCCUGUGUGACACACGUUCGAGGUCCUGCUGUUGGGAGCCACCACUUCUUGUAAACCGAGGCACUGCUCUCAGUGCCUCCCUUCUGCUCUGGUACCCACUUUGUGCUUCAACCAACUGGUCAUUUUAAAAGUUUAGUCCAAUGACUCGUCCCAUAAAUUUCAAUCAUACCUCCCCUGCAUCUCCUUUUCUACAGCCUAACCACUCUCAGUUGUUUAACCUUUUCCCAACGGCUUGAAUUUCAACUGCUACAGUAGGUUGGGGCAGAUGGUUGUCUGACUCCAUUGUCUCAUUACUUGAGACCUGCAAGCAAACCAGGAUCCCAUCCCAACUUGAAGUUACUACUUAUGAGCUUAUGUAAGGAAUCAGCCUCUUCCAAGGAAAGCUCUUCCUUGGCACUCCCCAGAAAGUUUUGUUUGGUCUCUAACCUGAUGGACCCCUACAGCCAACCCUGGCAUGGGUUUCCAAGCGGUGUUGAGACCCUGCCUCCUUGUUGGCCUUCGUGCAUUGGACAACCUGUCUGCUCCCGCAGCUGUGACUGUGUGACCCACACUCCUAGAGACCAGGUAACCCCUGCUGCCCUUUCUGAACCGUUCCCAUGCAUACACAGAUACCUAUAAGCCAAUUCCCAAAAAGCAAAUCUUUAAAUGCCAUUUUAUAAACCAACAGGGGAGAGGGAGGAGUGCCAUGUCCCAGCCAGCACAGCAGACGCUUCCCUUCAGUUUUUCUUGUGCCGUUGCCAUUCCCUUGUUCUCCCUGGGACUCUUGCUUUCCUCCUCCAGCUCCCUCCAUGCCUCUUCAGUGACCUUCAGGUGCAGUGUGCCACAUCGGCAACAAAACUGUUAAAAGACUGUAAUAUCAACUCACCCUGCUCUCCUAGGUAUCCCACUUAUGAACCUAUCUAUAGCAAAGGGUACUCACAUUGAGCCCCUCAAAAUCUCCCCCACCAGGACGCUAGAUCCUUUCGAGGGAGCCGGGGGUACCACACCUAUCAGCACCGUUAGGUGGGCAAAUCUGAUUCACAAGAUGCACCCAGAGAUUUCCAACAGAAAUCCAGAGUUGUGGUCUUUUUGAGUUCUUUGCAACAGAAAACUGCUGUGUUGUUUUUCAGUAGUUAAAAAAGAGUGAAAAUGAAGAGCUGAUGUUUUCUGAGGGGUUCCUCCAAUCGAUCCAGGUUGAGAACCACUGCACUAGCUAUAUCCAGUUCAAUUCGUUACCUCUAUAGUGAACAUUUCUACCACUGCUGGAGCAGGGUCUGGGCUAGAUGGACCAUUGGUCUGACCCAGUACGGCACAUCUUUUGUUCUUAUGCCCCUUUCAAGUGCCUGAUUUGGGAGCUACUUAAUUACUUCCAGUAUGUUUAUUUUUUGGUUGCUAAUGGCAAGCCCCUUCCCCAUUUUGUAUGCACACCUCAGCUCCCUACUCUUGCCCCCCAAACUUCCUCCCCUCCCAAGUACUGCAUGCAUGUGAUGUCAAUGUGCUAAUGCAUUAGGGAAUGUAAUCAUGAACUACCAGGGCAGAGGAAGAUCUUAUGUGAAGAGAAAUGGUAUAACAAAUAAAGUGAACAAAUGAAAAUACA